ensembl:lncRNA
CCUGAAGACACUCAAGGUCAGGCUGGACCAGCCUAUGAGCAACCUGAUCUAGCUGUAGAUGUCUACAGCUGAUACAUGUCUAUCCCUGUUUAUUGCAGGAGAGUUGGACUACCUGAUCUUUGAGUGUCCCUUCCAACUCAAAUGAUUCCAUGAUCCCAUGACACGGAGAGAUGUGCAGAUGCUGCCCUAGGAAGGUCACUCAGUACAUCUGCUGCAGACCUAUGCACCCAAUACACUGCUCUGUGAGCCAGGAGAGGGAAGGGAGGUGACUCAGCAACACACAGGAAGGUGGGUUUGAAGUCUUUUCUCCUUAGUUUUGGGCUACAGAUGUCAGUUUCCAGAGUCCUUUGUAUCACACCUAGGAGGAUGGAGUUCCCACUUCAAGUCCCCACUUCUCAAGUGCACCAAGGUACUUGAGCAGCAAGGAGCUCUGGGCUCCAACCAUUUCCUUCUGUUAAACAGAGAGCUGAAUACAGUUUCCCAGGGCUUUCAACCCACAGAGCCCAUCCUGGCUGCCUGCACUCAGUUAUUCUUCACCUCAUGCUCAUCUGAAUCUACCAGAGUUCAUACAACACAAUCUACUCCCUUCCCUCCAAAGAGACUCAUCUCCCUUCUGAAGGAGAAAGAGUUGCGUGGUGCGAGACUUCAGGGAUCCUAAUAGUCUACACUUGAUAUUUGGAAGGCAAAGUGGAGCUCUGAUCAGUGGGAAAUGACAUCCAACAACAUCUCCUUCAUCUCCGAACAAUCAGUGCUACCUUUUCACUCUUAACACAGCUCUGAAGGACAAUACAUUAUUGUUGUUUUGAAUGAGGAAUAUCAUCUGGUGGGAUAUUGAGAAGCUACCACGACAGCCAAGGAUUUCUAGACAUCUGGUGUCUCUGACAUGUGAGCAGGUCAGUAAAGUCAUUGAGGAAAAUAAGGAAUUUCUCUGCUUUGCAUCAGCAAACAAAUAUUACCAGUAGGGGAUGUUUUCAAGCUAAGAGCCAGUGAACUCAGGCUGCACACCAUCUGGAUGUUCACCUGUGGAGGCUGAAAUCAAUGUCCUGCAAAGCCACAUCUAAGCUCUGGGUCCCUUUACUUCUUUAUUCAAUUAAGCAAAUAAAAAAAUCGACAAAGACAAUGAUGUGCUGAGCCUUGUGAGUGACACAGAAACAGACAAAGAAUUGUGUGUUGAGCUGGGACCGGCAUAUGUUGCCCAAGACUCAGCUUCUCCCUGGGAUCAUCUCCACAGUUUUCUCCCAUGUAACAAAAUAUCCUCCUCUACAAAGUCAGGUUCUCCAUCCUGGAGAGCUAAUGGCAGACAGGAUUAUAAGCAAGGUGUUGGAAAAUGCAUUCACAAAGAUGGAGAGAGCAUAGCAGGCACGUUGGAACCCUACAGUCCAACCCCCAUUUUAUGAAGUGCUUUUUAAGGCACCAUAUGAGAAAAACAUGGGACAAGUUCUUCCUUUCUUGGCUCUUUCUCAAGAAAUCAUUCUACUAAGAAUUCUAAUUACCUUUGAACUUAAAUCUAAACGAAUUGCUUCCAUUACUGAAACAAUGCAUGCAUGUGUAGUUACUUCCAGUUCUUCAAAAAUCGAUCCACAACAUUAACGUGUGGCAGUUAAAAACACUGUGGUCAGGGAUGUGAAUCUGCUGACAGACCCACUGUAAAAGGCAGAUACCUUCAUUAGAAACCACCACGUUCACCAAGUUCAUUGCCUGAUAUUAUUUUUUUUGAUAGCAUCACUCUUUGUUGUUGGUAACUCGAUACCAUUACCACAAUGGCCUGCAGGGUCACAUUUCAGCAGCAAUCCUACAGUGACUCCAUCUGAGCAUUGAUUUAUUCCUUCAUUUUUAUCGGGCAGAAAACCUUCCUAUUGUACCACUUUCCUUGUUAACUGAAGGAUGGGAAAAAUAAAUAAAUAAAUAAAAACAUCUAAACU